rnacentral:rRNA from 1 species
AGGAGAGUUUGAUCCUGGCUCAGAACGAACGCUGGUGGCGUGUCUUAUACAUGCAAGUCGAGCGGUGCAGCAAUGCAUAGCGGCGAACGGGUGAGUAACACGUAAGCAAUCUGCCCCCUGCUUGGGAAUAGCCGUGCCAACGCGCGGAUAAUACCGAAUAUCGUGGCCUUCCGCAUGGGAGGUUGACAAAAGAUUUAUCGGCAGGGGAUGAGCUUGCGUCCGAUUAGCUAGUUGGCGGGGCAACGGCCCACCAAGGCGACGAUCGGUAGCCGGCCUGAGAGGGUGAUCGGCCACAUUGGGACUGAGAUACGGCCCAGACUCCUACGGGAGGCAGCAGUAGGGAAUAUUGCACAAUGGGGGAAACCCUGAUGCAGCAACGCCACGUGUGGGAAGAAGCAUUUCGGUGUGUAAACCACUGUCGUGAGGGAAUAAGGCUGAGUUUCGGCUCAGUUGAAUGUACCUCGAGAGGAAGCACCGGCAAACUUCGUGCCAGCAGCCGCGGUAAUACGAGGGGUGCAAGCGUUGUUCGGAAUCACUGGGCGUAAAGGGAGCGCAGGCGGAAGCUCAAGCGGAUUGUACAAUACCGGGGCCCAACCCCGGACCUGCAGUCCGAACUGGGUUUCUUGGAUAGUUCAGGGGCAAGCGGAAUUCCUGGUGUAGCGGUGGAAUGCGUAGAGAUCAGGAAGAACACCGAUGGCGAAGGCAGCUUGCUGGGGACUUAUCGACGCUCAUGCUCGAAAGUGCGGGUAGCAAACAGGAUUAGAUACCCUGGUAGUCCCCU